ensembl:snoRNA SNORD8 small nucleolar RNA, C/D box 8
CCCCCAUGAUGAGUUGCCAUGCUAAUACUGAGUCACCAAUCAGGGCAGUAUUGUUCUGGGCUGGGUACCAGUGAAUGUAACAACACUUCUCCCGUGGAAACCUGAGGGGC